UUGCGGUUAAAAAGCUCGUAGUUGGAUUUCUGUCGAGGACGGCCGGUCCGCACUUUGUGCGUGUAUCUGGUUCGGUCUUGGCAUCCUCUUGGGGAACGUUUCUGUGCUUCGUUGCAUGGGGCGGGAUUCAAGACUUUUACUUUGAGGAAAUUAGAGUGUUCACGGCAAGCUAUCGCUUUGAAUACAUUAGCAUGGAAUAAUAAUAUAGGGCGUAAGUUCUAUUUUGUUGGUUUCUAGGACAUACGCAAUGAUUAAUAGGGACAAUUGGGGGCAUUCGUAUUAACGCGUCAGAGGUGGAAUUCUUAGAUUGCGUUACGACGAACUACUGCGAAAGCAUUUGCCAAGGAUGUUUUCAUUGAUCAAGAACGAAAGUAUGGGGAUCGAAGACGAUUAGAUACCGUCGUAGUCUAUACCAUAAACUAUGCCGAUUAGAGAUUGGAGGUCGUUCGUUUUAUGACUCCUUCAGCACCUUAUGAGAAAUCAAAAUUUUUGGGUUCCGGGGGGAGUAUGGUCGCAAAGCUGAAACUUAAAGGAAUUGACGGAAGGGCACCACCAGGAGUGGAGCCUGCGGCUUAAUUUGACUCAACACGGGAAAACUUACCAGGUCCAGACAUAGUAAGGAUUGACGGAUUGACAGCUCU
rnacentral:rRNA from 1 species